rnacentral:rRNA from 1 species
CCCUUAGAUGUUCUGGGCCGUACGCGCGCUACACUGAUGCAUUCAACAAGCCUAGCCUUGACCGAGAGGUCCGGGUAAUCUUUGAAACUGCAUCGUGAUGGGGCUAGAUUAUUGCAAUUAUUAAUCUUCAACGAGGAAUGCCUAGUAAGCGUGAUUCAUCAAAUCGCGUUGAUUACGUCCCUGCCCUUUGUACACACCGCCCGUCGCUCCUACCGAUUGAAUGUGUUGGUGAGGAGCUCGGAUUGGCAGCAGUUGGUGGUUCGCCACCGGCUAUUGCUGAGAAGUCCUCCAAACCGCCCCAUUUAGAGGAAGGAGAAGUCGUAACA